UUGCACAAUGGGCGCAAGCCUGAUGCAGCCAUGCCGCGUGUAUGAAGAAGGCCUUCGGGUUGUAAAGUACUUUCAGCAGUGAGGAAGGCAGGUACGUUAAUAGCGUGCUUGUUUGACGUUAGCUGCAGAAGAAGCACCGGCUAACUCCGUGCCAGCAGCCGCGGUAAUACGGAGGGUGCGAGCGUUAAUCGGAAUUACUGGGCGUAAAGCGCAUGCAGGUGGUUUGUUAAGUCAGAUGUGAAAGCCCGGGGCUCAACCUCGGAAUUGCAUUUGAAACUGGCAGACUAGAGUACUGUAGAGGGGGUAGAAUUUCAGGUGUAGCGGUGAAAAUGCGUAGAGAUCUGAAGGAAUACCGGUGGCGAAGGCGGCCCCCUGGACAGAUACUGACACUCAGAUGCGAAAGCGUGGGGAGCAAACAGGAUUAGAUACCCUGGUAG
rnacentral:rRNA from 1 species